UGUCUUUCCCAUUGGAUUGUGGCACCUUCGUGAUAUGAAAGCUACAGGUCACUUGUUACCCAGGAGAAAGGUAUUUGAUAUCAUUAUCCAGAGAAAGAGGUAAAACAACGGUGAAAUCUGAUGGAAGGAUUUUUUUCAUUUUUCUCCUACAGCACUAACUGAUAUUUUCAUUCACUGGAAGGUGGCCUCUUCACCUGAGAUUAACUCGGAACUAUACCUUUGUUCUGAGUUCCUAAAGCUUGGGUUUAGAGAGCCAGGACUUCGCAGUCUGGCAGAUCCACACAUUCCCAUUCCCUCUGCCUCCAUGGAAUGCUGGGGAAAAUACUAGAAUUAUCACCCAUGGCUUCCUCUGUACCCAGAAAAACCUUACAGGAACCAACAGCAGACUGUCUUUCAAGAGGGUGAACCCUCCACAACAUGACAGGCUCUGAAAACCUAUGCCAACCAACUAGUGGGGGUGUUCAGACACAUUUUCAAUCUCUCAUUGUAAUACACACAAAUUCUGGAGGAACUCAGCAGGCCAGGCAAACUUUUCAUUGAAUACCUACUCGUCCAUAGAUGCUACCUGGCCUAAGUUCCUCCAGCAUUUUGUGUGUAUUACUUUGAUUUCCAGCAUCUGUAGAUUUUCUCGUUCGUGAUUCAAUCUCUCAUUGCUUCAAAAGGACAACGAUCAUACCAGUACCAAGAGGAGCAGGGUGUGCUGCCUUAAACACUAUCAACACUACAGUGAUGAAGUGUCAGUCAUGGCUCAAUCAACUCCUGUCUCAGUAAGGACCUGGACUCACUGCAAUUUGGCAGUUGCCACAAUAAGUCUGCAGCAGAUGUGAUCUCAUUGGCUCUUCAUGUGACUGUGGAUCACUUGGACUUAUGUCAGGAUGCUAUUUACAGCUCAGUAUUUAACACAAUCGUUCCCAAAGUUCUGACUGAAACGCCCCAACAGCUAGGUGUUUAUACGUCCUUCUGUAACUGGAUCCUCAGCUUCCUCUCAGAAGACCACAAUCUGUGCGGAUCAGUAAUACUUCUCCAGCUUGCUGCCAAUCAACACUGACACACUGCCAGGCUGUAUGGUUAGCCCAUUGCUCUACCCUCUGUACACCGAUGAUUGUGUGGCUUGGCACAGCUUAGAUGCCAGCUCUAAAUUUGCUGUCAAUGCAUCUAUUUUUGACAACAUUUCAGAUAGUGCCAAGAAGAUGUACAGGAACAAGAUAUAUCAGUUGGUUGACUGGUAUUGCAGCAACAACUUGCACUCAACACCAGUAAGCCCAAAGAACUGAUUGUGGACUUCAGAAAGGGUAAGGCGAGUCACCAGUCAUCAUAAAGGGAUCAGACUGGAACGAGUAAUCAAUUUCAAGUUCCAGAGUGUCAAUUUGUCUGAGGAUCUACCCUGGGCCCAAUAUAUCAAUGCAGCUACAAAGAAGGCAGGACAGUGGUUUUAUUUCAUUAGGAGUUAGAGGAGAUUUGGUAUGUCACCAAAGACACUUACAAAUUUCUACAGAUGUAUUGUGGAGACCAUUCUUACUGGCUGGUUGGGGGGAGUGGGGGGGGCGGGUGCUACUACACUGAAUUGAAAGAAGCUGAAGAAAGUUGUAAACUCACUCAGCUCCAUCAUGGGCACUAGCCUCCCCAGCAUCCAGUACAUCUUCAAGAAGCAAUGUGUCAAAAAGGCAGCGUCCAUCAUUAAGGACCCCCAUCACCAAGAACAUGCCCUCUUCUCAUUGCUAUCAUCAGGAAGGAGUAACAGGGGCCUGAAGGCACACACUCAAAGAUUCAGAAACAGAGGAUUUCUGAAUGGAAAGUGAACCAUGAAUAUGACCUCAAAGGAUUGAAAGUACAUUUAUUAUCAAAGAAUGUAUAAAUUAUACAACCUUGAGAUUCGUUGUUUACAGGCAGCCACAAAGCAAGAAACUGGACAGAACCCAAUCAAAAAAGGCCAAGACGCAAUAUACAAAGAGGGGAGAAAACACAAAUCAUGCAAACAGUAAAAGCAAGCAACAGCACCCCGCCUCUGUGUCGACGUUCAAAUCGUCCGAACACUGGGUCGCCCCCCGCACUAGGACCCGGGUCCCCGUCAGCGAUACGCUAGUUGUACCCUGGCGGCGUUCUCGACCUUUCUCAAUCAGCUCGGCGUUUCGGUCGAUGCAACUUUGCGCCGGAUUUAGGUGGACGGGCUCUGCAACUCGUCCCUCGACUGAGCCGCGCCCGCGCUCGCGGUGACAGGUUCGCACAGGAAAGUGCCAUUUAACCGCCUGUCAGCUGUCAGGAUGUUUGCAAACUGCCUCACUACACUCUGCAGUAUUAUUUUAUUUAGUCUAGAUACUGUAAUUCGUUUUUUUAAGUACUGCUGCCGCAAAGACAAAUUUCACAUCGGUCGGUGACUGAAACCCGAUUCUGUCCGUCAGGGCCCCAGCGAUGCGCAUGCGCCAGAGAAAUGACUCCGCCCCCUUCCCUCGUGAGCAGAAAGCGCCCGGGGCCCGCGAACGGAUCGUGGGGCUGCGAGAGAGGGAAAGGACCGGGAAUGUUCUGGGAUGCGGAGUCACAGUGUGUCUGGAGCUCGCAACAACUGCCCCGCAGUCGCGGUGUGGAAGCCGGUGCUGAUAAAAUCCCCGCGCGGAACCCCGCUCCUACCUAUUACCGAUCUUCUACAGUCUGUUGCCAAUCAGCGCAUGCGCCAAUUACGGGAACGAGCUUUGUCUCAUACACAUGCGCAUUUGAUCGCUGUAUCACCGGCGGCAACUGGCGCAAGAGAUUUUGGAUGCUACCUCAACCGUCGAAUCCUCCGGUGUUUUGUGUGUACCUGGAAUAAGUGGGUCAUUUUCAGACUGGAAGGAGGUAACUUUUGGAGUACCCAGGUUCUGAUGUCGAAGCUGGGCUUAUUAUUCAGUUCAUUCCAUGAGUGUGUAACCAGUUGGAUAAUAAAUUUUCUGAUGAGCUAACAGAAGUCAAGCUUUUGACCUUGUACUAUUGCAAACACUACCAAUUUUCAAUUUGUGAAACAGAAUGUUGUACAACUGUCAAAAAAAACUGAGCUAAUAUUACAAACUACAAAGUAAGUGUUACUUCAAAAAUAUCGCAGCAAUACUAUGAUUUCCAAUUUUCACUUCUGGGAAAGUUAAGACUGGAUCAAUUAUGAUGUUCAUUGAUAUGUUAAACUACAUGCUUCGAAACGAAGAAUUGGAUAACUGACAAAUCUAGUUGACAUCACUAGAACUUUUCAAGCUUCCAGUGCUGACAGCGAACGUGGGUUCAGUCUUAAGAGCUUGAUCAAAUGUAAAUCCAGAAAGAAGAUUAGAAGUGGAACAUUCGUAUGAUCUAAUGAGGAUAAAGAAGUAUUUUUCACCUGAACCUAGAAGACUGGAGGGGAUAUUUUAUAGAGGUAUACAAAAUUAUGUGGAUGGGGUAUAGAUUGGGUAAUGGCAAGCAGGCUUUUUCCACGGAGGUUGGGUGAUACUACAACUAGAGGUAAUGGGUUAAGCAGAAACCCAUGACCUUUAAGAGUGAAAGGUGAAAUAUUUAAGGGGGAACAUGCAGCGAAACUUCUUCACUCAGAUGGUGGAGUGUGGAAUGAGUUGCCAGUGGAAUUAGUGUAUGUGAUUUGAUUGCUUCAGAGAAGUUUGGAUAGGUACAUAGAUGGGAGUGGUAUUGGGGGGAGGUAUAUGGAUGGGAGUGGUUUUGGGGGGAUAUGGUACAUGGAUGGGAGUGGUAUUGGGGGGAGGUACAUGGAUGGGAGUGGUUUUGGGGGGAUAUGGUACAUGGAUGGGAGUGGUAUUGGGGGAUAUGGUACAUGGAUGGGAGUGGUAAUGGGAGGAUAUAGUACAGGUAAGCGGAAAGGCCUGUUUCUGUGCUGUAGUAUUCCAUGACUCUUCAAUUUUGCCCCAUCAUCUGCCUGUCCUUCCUGACAGUCUCACUAUACACUACCUCUUCAGCCCGAUCACUCCAAUUCCAUUCCCUGAUAAAUUAGUUUAACCCCUCCACAACUGCUCUAGCAAACCCGCCUGGAGGGAUAUUGGUCCCCCUUGGGUUCGGGUGUAACUCAUCACAUUUGUACAGGUGAAACCUUCCCCAGAAGAGAUGCAAAUGAUCCAUAAAUCAGAAACACUACCCCAGGCACCAGUCUCUCAGCCACUCAUUCAUUUGCUGAAUCGUCCUAUUCUUGUCAUCAUUGCGCAUGGCAUAGACAAUCCAGAGAUUGUUACCCGGAGGUUCUGCUUUUCAGCUUUCUAUCUAGUUCUCUAAAUUCCCUCUUUAGGGCCCCUUCUCUUUUCAUUCCUAUGCCAUUAGUACCAAAAUGUACCAAGUUGUCUGGCUGCUCACUCUCCCCCUUUAGAAUAUCAUGUACACAAACCCUGACCCUGGCACCUGGGAGGCAACACACCAUCUGGGUCCCUCUAUCGCAUCCACAGACUCUCUGAUCUACUCCUUUAACUAUGGAAUUUCCCAUUUUCACUACACUCCCCCUUUGCCUCAUUCUCUUCUGAGCUACAGCACCAAAAUCUCUGCGGCUCCCCACUGGUAGGUUGUUCCCAACAGUAUCUAAUACUGUAUUCUAGUUAUUGAGAAAAGCGCAAGCGAGGCACUCUGUAUGGGCUGCCUAUUUCCCUUUCCUCUCCUGAUGGUCGCCUAUUCACCUACCUCCUGUAACCUCGGAGUGACUUCCUCACUGUAGAUCCUAUAUAUCACCUCUGCAGUCUCCUGUAUGACCCAAGGUCAUCAAGGUGCAGCUCCAGUUCUUUAAUGCAUUCUCUGAGGAGCUGCAGCUCGGUCCACCUGGUGCAGAUGUGGUUAUUCCCAGACCUCCGAGAAUUCCCAGAUCUCACACAAAGAACAAACCUCAGCCCCUGGAGCCAUUUUUACUGCCCUAACGAUACACUUGUAGAUGAAGAAUGAACAAGAAAAAGCUGACCAGAUACUUACGUUGCCCAUGCCUGAUGAGCCAAAGCCAAAAGUCUCUCCACUCCAACACUGCUGCACUCCAAUAAUGGCAGCUUCGCUUGUCCCUGCCUUAUUUUUAUUUGACUGUGCUAAUGAAUUCUGAACUCCUUUGUCAUGCUCUGAAAAUACGACUACGAAGCACAGAUUUUUAAAGCUGUAAAAUCAGUCCCUAUCUAUGCAAAUACUCAAAGAUUGGAUCCUUUAGAAUAUCUUCCAAUAACUUUCCUACUAUUAAUGUCAGGCUUACUGGCCUAUAAUUUCCCGGUUUAUUUUUAGAGCUUUUAUUAAACAGCGGAACAACAUUAGCUAUCCUCCAAUCCUCCAGUACCACACCUGACACUGAAGAUGAUUUCAAUAUCUCUGCUAGAGCCCCUGCAAUUUCUGCACUUGCCUUCCAUAGGGUCCUUGGGAACACUUUAACAUGCCCUGGUGAAUUAUCCACCCUAAUUUGCCUCAAGAAAGCAAACACCUCCUCCUUUGUAAUCUCCGUAGGGUCCAUGACCUUGAUGCCACUUUGCUUCACUUCUGUAGACUCUGUAUCCAUCUCUUGAAUAAAUACAGAUGCAAAAAAUCCAUUUAAAAUCUCCCCCAUCUCAUUUGGUUCCAUGCAUAGAUUACCAUUCUGAUCUUCCAGAGGACUAACUUUGUCCCUUGCAAUCCUUUUGCUCUUAACAUAUCUACAGAAUGAAUCUCUUAGGAUUCUCCAUCACCUUGUCUGCUAUGGCAACCUCAUGCCUUAAUUUUUAAGCCCUCAUUUCUUUCUGAAGUGUUCUCUUGCAUUUCUUAUACUCCAUAGGUAACUCAUUUGUUCAGACUGUCUAUACCUGUUUUUUUUUUCUUAACCUGGGCCUCAAUAUCUUUUGAAAACCUGGUGCAGAUGUGGUUGUCAGCCAGACAGAUACAAGCUUUGUACUCUCAAAUUUUCACUUUUAAAGGCCUCUCUCUUAUCAAUUACACCUUUGACAGAAAACUUCUGCUCCAAUCCACACUUGUCACAUUUCAGCAGGCUAGUGAGGGGUUGGCUAAGUUCAGUAUCUGAAUCAACCCAUGCUCUGUUGUAGUUGUAUAAACACAGAAAUGAUCAAAGUUGCUGGACUGAUGUAUUGCAAUUGGUUUUGCUGAUAUAACGGCCUUUGAACGAUCCUCAGUGACUUCUUGUUUGCUUUGGGAAAUUUUCUGUCCCAAGUAAGUCACUUCUUGUUGCAAAUGUGCCUUGUCCAAACUUGCUUUGUGUCCCUUGAAAGACAGAUAAAUCGAGUAGGUAGAGUACAUCACGUUCAUGCUGAUCUGCGGUCUCAGACGCAAUCAGGGUAUCAUCCACAUGUUGUAUGGUUGUUUAGUCAGUGCCUGGAAAGCCCCUUAGAUGUUGUCUCAAUGCCGUGGUAGACAGUAGGACUGCUGUGAAGUCCCUGUGGUUCACCAACGACUAUAAAAGCCAACUAUGAUUGACAUUCAGGCACCAGUGGUACCGACCAGAAACCAUUGGCCAUAUCGAUAACAUGUGUGGUAGGUUGAGGGUGUUGAAGAUCAUUGAUGAAUCUGCCACCAGAGAGAUUAACUUGUCAAUACGCUCCACUCAGUGAUCCUGUAAUCUACCAUUGGUCACCAAGUGCCAUUCACUUUCUGGACAGGUCAGACCGGACAGUUUGACCCACUGCGUGUCUUAACAAGAACUCCUCACUCAUCCAGCUGAUUGACAAUAGGUAUGAUGCCUUCUAUGAAUAUUCUGCUUAGUACUGUUACAAGUAAGGAACAACCUGGAGGUUGGAACAGAACGUGUUUCAUGUCCAAUGCAGCCAAGUAGUUCUGCUUGACUGGUAGUCACUCAGAAACAAUGAGCACACUCACACGCACAGAAUUAGUAGGUCAAACAUCAAUUGUUAGAUGGACAAGCCUACAAUAUCGACUGAUCCCGUUAUAUCAUAUGACAGACCGGUAACAGUCACUGGGUGGAUUGGACAUCUCUCCACCUGUUAGUUUUUCAGGCGAAACCUGCUUGAUAAUAUUCCAUCAGUUUUCUGGUCCGUUCUGAUCAGCACAAUCCAGAAGCCUCAGGAUUGAGUGUUGGUUCGGAUUUAGUGCUUUUAACUGGAGAUUCUGCUUCAGUUAGUUGCAAUGCUAACCUGUCUUGUUCACUUGCUCAUCCUAGAAUGAGGGAUUCACUUGGUCGUCUCCUGAUGGGAUUUAGAUGCUGAUGGCAUACACUACCAUCCUGAAGUGUUGAAGUAACUUGUUGACCCUCUUUCACCACAAUUUCUGCGUUCAUCCACCUUCAGCUUUCAGGGGUCGGGUCAAGAUAAAUGGGAUCUCCCACUGAUGUUCCUUAUUUGAAUUGUCCUGUAUUUUCAUUGUCUUUCAUCUGUCUCUUACUCUAUCUCCCACCUCUGGGUGGAACAAAUUUAAUUGGAAAUGCAACCUGCAGCCCAUCAGUAGCUCAGAUGGAGAGAAAGCUGUGGUAGUUUGAGGGGUUAUUUGGUACAUGAACAAAAACCAGUUGAUCCUGCUGUGUAUGUCCCCAUUAAACCUUUGUACUCCCUGCUUCACAAUCUGAACAGCUCUUUCACCCAUACCAUUUGAUGAUGGGUGAUAAAGGGUGAAUGUUGCAAUCGAAUUCCACUGUCUUGUAAGAAUACUUUGAACUCCUCACUUGGAAACAUGGGACUAUUAUCACAGAACUGGGGAUUCCACGCACACAAAAUAGUGUGCGUAAAAUGUUUAUCAUCAUCUGGCUGGUCAACGUCUUCACCGUUUUGGCCUUGAUCCAUUUAGAAAGCACAUCGAUAACUAUCCAGUGACUAUCCAGCAGGCCUGCGCAGUCUACAUGUAAAAGUCUCCAGGGUUUGGUUGGCCAAUGCAAUGGAGCCAUAGGUAUAGGAGUGUUUAAAGGUCGAGACUGCUGGUAUGAGUUGCCUGGACGAACAAUAAGCUCAAUGUCUUCAUGCUUUAAAUAUGAAAAUCCUGGAGGUACAUGGAGCUUAGAAAAAUAAAGCGCUAUGAGUAACCCUAGGUAAUUUCUAAAGUAAGUACAUAUUCAGCACAGCAUUGUGGGCCAAAGGGCCUGUAUUGUGCUGUAGGUUUUCUAUGUUUCUAAAACAUGGCCAGCAAUUAGCAGGACAGGCCAGUUAUCCACAUUCUGAGAGUUAGAGCAUCUAAACCCUGCAGGCUGGCGCAGUUGGUUGCAUGUCGUUACAGGAACCCCUCCCCUAUGGCCGACUCCUGACGGCCUUGGUUACUUAGAGAUUAUGCUGAUUGCCAUCGAUGACAGCUGGAUCCAAGCUGUCUGUCUCAGGAACUCAGCACCACUCCUCCGGUCCCAGUCCAUGAGGAGCUGCUGAACACUCCAAACAGUUCGUGAAUCCAGAAUUCUUUUUACAGUGAGGAACCGUUCUUCAGUGACAAACCUGGUGGCAGCAGGACUGACGGUAGUGGGGGCUAAAGGUUUAGUGUUUACAGGUUUUAAUUUGGAAAUGCGAAUGUGGGAUUGAUCUUGAGGGUCUUAGGGAGCUGCAAGGUGUAAGCCACCAGGUUCACUUUCUUGAGAACCUUGAAGGGUCCAAUGAACUUGGGCACCAACUUCCGAGACUCCACCUGGGAAGGCAAAUCCUGUAAAGCUGGAACCUGUCUUUUCAUGUGGUUAGCCUGUAUUUCAACCUUCCAUGUAGAGGCAGGGGAUUGGGAGUUUGACGUUCUAGUGUCCGUUUUUCAGUAUGGGCAAUCUGUUAGUUUUUGUGUGAGGGAAGGGUUGGGGUUUUUUGUGUGGGGGGGUGGGGUCGAUAUUUCUCUUUCAACGAUUUCCAUGGUUUUUCUUUUGUCUUGUAGGCAAGAUGAAUCUCAGGAGCUGUAUACUGGAUACAUACACUGAUAAUGAAAUGAACCUUUGAAUUCCUUCCCACAGUCUGAGCAGAUGAAUGGCAUCUCUCUAGUGUGAACUUGCCAAUGUAGCUGCAGUUAAGAUGACUGAGUGAAUCCCCUCCUACAUCCUCAGCAGAUGGAUUAAGUGAACAGCUUCUCACUGCUGUAAAUUUUCUGUUGUACGAUCAGCUUGGAUGACAGAAUGAAUUGCUUCCCACGGGCAGAACAAAUCAACAAAUGCUGAUGUGUUGUCAGCACCCCAAUUCCAGUGGACUCACUGAGUUCAAACCGAAAACUUCCUUUCAGACACAAAGCAUGUUUCCAGCUGGGAUGAGACACUUCUUCAUCUCCUAGGAUCAACAACAGAUAUAUUGGUGUUACAAAGGAAAUAUCUGGUCACUCCUUAAAUACCUGGACAGAGACAUUAAAACUGAUGUAUUGUUGUGUUUGAGAUUCCUGUACACAAAUUCUUUGCUGCUUCGCACCUGUAAAAGAAUGUACCAAGGAUACCGUUGGGUGAAGGACAGCACUUCAGAUGAGAUAAUUUUAGUUUCUAUAGCAACCACUGUUAUAGCGAGGUUCAACAGAAGUUGAAGUAUCAACUCCUGAUCUGCAAACUGAACAUGGAUCAGGAAUUUGAAUUGACUGUAUCAGAACGGGCUAUUUCUGCUUGCCUUCAAUCUGUGACGUGGCUCAGUUUGUCUCUCUCCACUUGUGUUAUUUCAAGUUCUGGUCAUAUCCCACAGCCCUACAAAGAACACAUGAUAUUACAUGAUUACAUGACUGAUCCUGGAAACUUUCUAAUUACCCUGUCCCUCUCUCCCACCACCCAAGGUGAUUGACAGUGGUGAACUCAUAUACCAAAAGCUCAUGAGGUCAUGAACGUUCAGCUACAAGAAAUAUUUAUGUAUGAUUCGGAAACUGGAGUUAUCUGUUUGUGUUGACGUGAUGCGAAAGUUGCUGGAGAAUUUCCUAGUGGAAAGAAGUGGGAUGAUAUUUGGAAACUUGACUUUUUGAAGCAUCAUUUGGCAAAUAAAUCGCAUUUGGUUGGUGUGAAAAAGCUCAGGCAACAGAACCCGUCAUUACAGGAGUGCUACGCAUGUUACGGUUGAGUGCAGAUGAGCAAAAGUGAAAACGAUCAAACCCAGAGGAGAUCAAAGUUCUUUUCGACAGCGUGUUUUUAGCUGUUAAAAUGAAUAACUCUUUACAUUCUGUUCAAAGCAUUAAUGAACAUAUGGAAAAGUAUGUUUAACUCUCAGACAGCUGGCAAAGCAAAAGUUAUGUGUUCAAGUUUCUGGAGACUAUCCAGAACAAGUCAAUGCCUUAUGUCUAAAAUAUCAUGAUUUUCUAGCUGAAAAUACUGUAAUGGUUAGACAGUUUAAUGAUUUCAAGUUUUCCGUGCAAGAAAAAAUUAAAUCCAAACUGAUUUCAAACUUUGCUCAAAUGGUGGCAUUAGUACUUCAAAAUGAACAGUUUUGCGACCUUGCACGGUUGAUGGACAUUGGGGGAACAUUUCUUGAGUCUAGUGCAAACUGUGAGCGAGGUUUUAGCCUAAUGAAUCAACUCAAAAACAAGCUGAGAAACCGUUUAGCUGAAUGUCAUUUGGAUAUGUUAAUGAGAAUCAAAAGCUAUCAAUUGGAUGGAAGUUCUAUUAGUCUAGAAAGAGUUUACAAAGAAUGGGUAAAUGCCAAAGACAGGAGAGAGAAAAAAUAACCGAGUGACUUAAAUAUACAUGUUAUUUUGUUGUUAUUCUGUGCAGUUUUAUGUCAAAUAUUUUGUAAACCUACAUAAAUUGUGCCAUGUACUUUUUUUUCAGUGUGCACGUACUUUUGUCACAGGAAAAAAAUUUGCACAACAUAAGAUUUUUGCACACAAUGACUACUAAAAAUUAGAGGGAACUUUGCCUCUGACUGGACUACAGUUCCUCGCCUCACUUCCCCAGGUGUUGUCUGAGAAAGCCCAGGCUGAGAGUUCCUCACUCUAGUUGAGUGGGAUUACUGACAUUGGAGUCAUAGUUUUACCAUGCUGCUGAAU